GUGAAUGCAUUUCAUUUUUUAGGAGGCUGCAAUCAGCUACUGAGUAGGACAGGGGAACCUUGAGCGUCUCCUUCUCUCCCCAUCCCCAGGACCUAAUAAGGAGGGAGAGGGCAUAGUUUGGGCCUGGGGAGAGGGCUGGGGCGGAGCCGUGUCGCUGGUAGGAGGGGCUGCGAUCCUUAGUCAGCAGCCGGUGAGGAGGUGGGCCUGAGCAGGGGGCGGAGCCUGAGGGGGGCAGGGCCUGCGGGGGGGCGGGGCUGGGCCCGGGCGGAGGGCUGGGCGGCGUCCGGGGGCUAGGGGAGCCGUUCAAACCCACGCCGGGGCGGGGCUUCCGGGAUGCUUGCGAAGGGCGGUCGUUUGAAGGCUCAAGUGUUCCGCCGGAGAGCUUGUGAAAGGGACCGAGGCCGGCCGUAUAAGACACCUUCUGAGCAGGGGUUGAGGAGGGGCGUGGUUCCUGCUCUCCGUGCCGUCCUGUGAUCCUGUCCACCAGGCAGAGCAGCCCCCGGGAAGGGCUGAGGCUGGGAGCGCGCUCGAGGCCAGGCCUCAGCUGUGCCCCUCCCCAGGCUGCACCUCAGGCCCGAGAGCCCGCACCCAUAGCGCCUUCAAGGGUCACCUGCAGUCAUGCUCCUCAUUCAGGAGGGUCUGGCUCCAGCCUUUGGUCUAGGGUUUGGGGGAGAGUGGGGGUGGGUGAGAAAGAAAUCUUACCAGGGCUAUGGAGUGGCUUAGUUUGGUCUCUCUAGGGUGAUUGGGAGGAGAGCUUGAAGAACCAGUUCAUUAAUUCAACAAAUAUUUAUUGAGCACCUGCUAUGUGCUGUGACAGGCCCUGGGAAUAUAGCAGUGGACUAGACAGACAAAAAUCCCUACCUUUGAAUUGAAGAUUUUUGUGAGAAAUUAUAGGUAAUAAUUAGGUACAAAGGUGAUUAUAUAUGGUGUAUAUAUAUGUCUAUGUAUUUAUUUAUUUAUUUCUGGUUAGAUGGUGACAAGGCUGUGACCUGGGGCUGCUGUGCUGAGAUUGCCCGCCUCAGGGGCACGAAGGCCAUCCAGCAGAGGCAAGCAGAGAGCAUGAGGGACAGAGGUGAGGAGUGCUCUGAAGGUGUGUUUGAGUCCCCAGACUCAGCAGGCCUACACUCAGCUCUCCCCCUGCAUUUCUCAGUCACGUGAGCCUGUGAAGGCCUCUCUUUUGUUUUGGUUGUUCUGCCGCCUGCAACUGAAGGUGUCCUGCCUAGUGCAUUCCUGCGCCAGCUUGUGCACCCUCAGGGAGUGCCUGAGCGAGCCGUGGGGGAAGGACAAUGUCCAGAGCGGAGAGAGGGCUGGGCAGGGCCCUCAGGAGAUGAGCUGCUGACCAAGCCAAGAGAGCACGGUGGGGAGCCUUGUGUGUGGGUGGCAGCUGUUCCAGGCCACACUGCAUGGGCAGGCUUGGGCCCAAGGUUGUCCCAGAGGUCCUGCAGAGCAUCCCUGAGUGGCCUCUGCAUGGAUGUGGACCCAGAAAGGCUGGCGCAGUGAGCGGUGCUCCACCCUCGGCCUCUGAUGUCUCAGAAUCUCGGGAAUGAUGCUGGCCCGUGCGAUGGUACCACCACCUCUUGUCUGCAUGUGUGUGAAGAUGAGAUGAAACAACACGUGUGUGAAGCGCCCAGAGGCAGCCGCUGUUGACUGAGCACGGUGCUAUUCCAGUCCUACUCCUUUCCCUGCCCCACAUCCACUAAUUCUAUUUUCAUGCUGUCUUUGAAAUAAGUUGCCUUCUGCUUACGGUCAUGGUCUGACUUGGAUUGCUAAAGGUAAGUUCUACACUUAUUGGGGCAGUGUUAAUUGGUCCAAAAUAACAGCUCUUAAAGAGCAAUAAUUCCUUUCAUUUGUGUAGUGCUUUAUAGCCAUAAAUUACUUUUAAUAACACUCCAUCAUUGAUUCCUCCCAACAGCCUGAUGAGACAGGUGUAAUUCUGUCCAUUUUUUAGAUUUGGAAGUAAGCUCAAAGAAGGUGAGUACAAGUAUAAGAAUCAGAGAAACAGGAAGUCACAAUGGACCUGUCUCUAAGAGAGGGCAGGUCCUAAGCAGCCACUUCGGCAGCCUGUGGAGGUCCUGAGGAGCCUACAGUUUGGGUGAGGGAGGGCAGCUGGAAGUACUCAGGGCCUGCUCCUUAUGGUGGGGGAGGGGGAGAAGGCGAGAGGUGGUCGGAGGGACAAUGCCACCGCAUUUGCUGUGAGGCGGGUAUUUUUUAUCUCCUUUUUCCACAUAAGGAGACUGAAGCUCGGUAAGGCCAAAGUCACAGAAUUAGUAAAACUCAGCCAGGUCUUUUGAUUCCAAGUCUAGAGAGCUUUCCACUCAGAAACCCUUAAGGUUUUGAAACGUUUUGUGGUUUCUGAUUUAUUAGGGACUUUUUUAAAAGAGUGGUGAAUAGACACAACUGUCAGUCCAGACUUGCAGAGUUCUUUGCAAAGACAGCCGGCAUGAUAUGGUGGAAAAGAAAACACAAGAUUUGGAAGCCUUCUGCAAAUUGUAGCACCCUCUGAAAUGUUUUUGUUGUUUCUUUUACAUUAUUUGCGUAUUUUUGCUGUGAAAAUUUAAAGGGACCUGUUUGCUCUUUCUGUGUCCUUGCUCAGUGGCUACAAAGUGUCUGCUACACAGUAGCAGCUCAGUAAAUGGUAACUUUUGGAAUGAAUUGGAAUGAAGCCAAGGGCCUUGCUCUGUGUUCCUACAACGGGGGUUCUCUCAGCCAGCUGCCGACAGGUCCUUCCCUCCCUGAGGGCAGUGGGCAUAUCUUUCCUUUUGUGUUUCGCACUGCAUCCCCUGGGCAGCCCUGUCCUGUCUUCCCCUGUCAGUAGGUCACCUGUGUGCUCUGCUAUAGGCAACAGAUCUCAUUACAAACAGGAGGCUGGGCAGAUGUGCAGUGAGAGAGGCCCCCAUAGCCCAUCUCCCUGGAUUGCUUGGGAAGAAAUAGAUGACUCAGUGCUGGCACACAGGGACCGGGAUGCCAGCCCCAUUGGCAGCAGUGGCAUGGGGAGUGGAGGGCUUGCUUCUGCAGUCCCCAUUCCCUGGCACCAGCCUGAAGGCCAGGGCCUGCUUCGUGGGCAUCAGAAGGUUAUGAGCAGGCCUCCUCACCCUGUGGGGAUAAUUGGAUUAGCUAAAGAAAGAGUGGCUCCCUUCUGCCCUGCUCUGUCUGUAUUCUUCUCGGCAGGACCCUGGGAAGAGAAAGUCUGGGGCUGCAGGCUCUGGGCUCCUCCCUGACCUCUGGGGCAUUGGGUCAGCCUGGGGUCUUAUUAUCCCACUCUGUUCGCAGCAUGUGAAACGGUAAGGCCAGCAUGUGGCCCCACCGCUGAACAUAGAGUCAGAGAAUAAGAAAGCAGGGGCCUUCAGAGAACCAGCCUCCCUGUUCCCAAAACGUGCCAGGCCUAUCUCUGUGACCAAAGCCCUGCUCCCCUACUCAGGCAGAGGCUGUUCUGGUUAGGAAGCUCUGGGCAGAUAGCAUGGUGGGACACACAUUUUGGCAUCAAAGAGACCUAGAUUCAAAUCCUUCUCUGCCGCUUCCUGGCUGUAUGCCCUUGAACCUCUCUGAACCAGUUUCCUUACAUAGCAAAAUGGGGUUAAUAAUAUCUACUUCAGGGGGCGGAUGUGAGGGGCAAAGGGUCUCUCUGUGGGGAGAGGUUUUGGUAUAAAGGAUUAUGAUGACGUGCCUCCCAGAGGGCAGAAUGUGGGCAUGUGGACUCUUUUGUCAAAGACGCUUGGGAUCCUGGGCAAAUUCUUUUUGCAAAGUCUCUGUGUAAAUAAAGAUUGGUGUCACCUAAAAUCAGAGUGCUGUCACCAUUCUGGCAUCUGAGCUAGUGUGAUCCUGUAAAACAAAUGCCACACCAGCCAGUGAGCAAACUGCCCACCAGAUCCCCAUUCUGGAACUGGAGUGGCACAGACCUUCAGUGCGAUCCCUUGUGUGUGAGUCUAGGAGCUCCUCCCGACAUCUGGUCAACACCACUUGCUUGGGCGUGAGGGGUGGGCACAGAAUUGGAGAGUGCCCAGAAGGGGAGAAAUUGGAAGGGAACUUAGAAAAUUGUGAGGAAGACACUCCAAAUCCCACGACCCUGAGUCUCAGGCCUGGGACUGGCGUGCACGCCCAGGCCUGGGGGCAGCAGUAUCUGUGUGAAGCCCAGGCUAGGUCUCUGCCCGACUCAGGGCUAAAGUGGAGCUUGGGGUUAAAGUGCAAGAAGGGGAUUGAGGUUGAUAGAGCAGGAGGGGGACUUAAAGAUGACUAAGUCCAGCUUCUUAGGGCACAGGCUUUCUCUCACACCAGCUCAUUUGUUUGGCCGUCAUGAAGGGGAAGUCAUGUGGUGGCAUCUGUGGCUGCAGCACCGUGUCUUGCUGAGUUGAGUGGAGCUGUGAGUGCCCUACUGACCAGGGGCAUUGACUCGCCUUUGAGGUGUGGCUGGAUGUUGGGUAUUGGGCCUCAGGAAGGCACGGGGCCUCCUUACUCGAGGGGAUAAAUGGGGAGGGACAGAGUGGAGAGUGUCUUUUGCACCUUUUGGGGAUUCCCAACUCCAUUCCCUCAUCCUAGGAGCUUGGCGGGCUGAGCAGGGUCCUUUCCCAAGAAGGCAGUUCCUCAGGUGGGCCUGCCCCAACCACCCUCCUUGGUUAGGCCUGGCCUCUGGACACAUGACUUAGGGCCCUGCUCCUUCCGCCCCAGCUCCCCACAACCUGCUGGUCAAUUCCUGAAGAUUCAAUGGGAGCUGAACCUUGAGGCAGGUGGACAUGUCCAUUUCCAUGGAGCAAUCCUCCAAAGCCCUGGUGUAUACUCACCCCACACCUAGGACCCCCAGUUUCUGCACAAAUUCAUGGAGACUGGCCAAAUGAAAAACAUCUUGGAAUGUUUCUGCUUGUCCAUUGUCCAAGGAAGGGACGGAGGAGCAAGAGGGCCAGGCAGGCGCUGCCUUACCAGGCUGCGUGGACAUGAUGGGACCCCCGGGGAAGAGUGUUCCUGCCGAGGGGCUUGCUACCUGGAUCCUCUGCAAGACAGACCCCUCAAGUUCCUCUCCCCCUCCUGCUAAUUCCAUCAAAACCUCUUGGUUAGUGGAAAGAGCACUAGACUAAGUGAGUAGGAGAUUUGGAUUCCAACGGUGACUGUUACUGUUCUGGGUGACCUUAGGUAGGUCUCUGUCCUUGUUUUGCUCAUCUGAACAUCGAAAUGAUAAUCAAAUCUGUUCAAUUGGUUAUUUUGAGAUGCAGUGAGAUAAUGUAGGUAAAAGAGCUUUGGAAAAUUUGUGCAAUACUACACAAGUGUAAGGUAUUAUCAUUAAACAACUCUGAGCUCUUGCUUAUUGCUCACAGCGAUCUUUGGCCUUUUAAUACACUUCCUCUUAGGAAGUCCAAAGCCAGGGUCAUCUUUAAUGAGAACAUUAAAGAUGGAAUCUUGUUAAAAUGCAGAUUCUGGUUCAGUCAGUCUGAGGUGGGCUCAGAUUCUGCAUUUCGUUGCUCCCAGGUGAUACCAAUCCUGUUGGUCUUGGGGACCACUGGUGAGAAGCAAGGGACUGGGAGAAGUAUCCCCUCGCAGGAAAGGAGACUGAAGUCUUCCUAGAGUUGGUUGAGAAGAAACAGCUCAGAAAAUACAGCAGAAGUACGGGUUUAUUAAAACAGCUGGCAGUCAAAGAUGGCCUGUUGGUCACAAAAGAUAAACUUUGGUCUUUGGAAAAACAGAGAGCAAGAGGCAAGAAGAAGGAAGAGAGAGACUGGGCGGGGGAGGGUGACAAAGAGACAGAGAGAGAGACAGAGAGACACAAGGAGACUCAGGGAGCCAAGAAGCCUUGGACAGAUCACUUCCUGGACUUCUCUGCAGAGCAGCCACCAUUGGUCUUACUAAGAGAGUCUGUGCUGCCCAUUCUUGAACCCAUGCUGUUGAGGAUUUUGUCGAUUUCUCCUGGGAUGUUUUGCUUCUCCUCAUUCUCAGUCUCCCGAUGGUAGAAGUAGUUAAAGUUGGAGACAAUGACAGGCACAGGGAGGGCAAUGGUGAGGACCCCUGCAAUGGCACACAGAGUGCCCACAAUUUUCCCUCCUGGGGUGGUUGGGCACAUGUCUCCGUAGCCCACAGUUGUCAUGGUGACCACUGCCCACCAGAAACCAUCAGGAAUGCUAGAGAAAUGGGACUCUGGCUCAUCUACCUCAGCAAAGUAGAUUGCACUGGAGAAGAGAAUGACUCCAAUGAAGAGGAAGAAGAUGAGCAGCCCCAACUCCCGCAUGGAAGCCUUCAGCGUCUGCCCCAGGAUCUGCAGCCCCUUGGAGUGGCGGGAGAGCUUGAAGAUGCGGAAGACCCGCACCAGCCGGAUGAUCCUCAGGAUGGCCAGGGACAUGUUCUGCUGGGCGCUCGGCUCUGUCUCCUGGACAAGCUCUGUGAUGAGGGUUGCAAAGUAGGGGAUGAUGGAGAUGAUAUCGAUAAUGUUCAUGAUGUUCCUGAAGAAGUCAGUCUUGCUGGGGCAGACCACAAACCGGACCACCAGUUCAAAGGUGAACCAUACGAUGCAGGUGGACUCUACCAUGAAGAAAGGGUCAGUGAACAUGGUGUGGGAAAGGAAUGUCUUGCUUGUGUUGAGGCUGGGGUCUCUUACCACCUUCAGCUCCCUAUCCUCCCGGAACUCAGGUAGUGUCUCCAGGCAGAAGAUUGUGAUGGAGAUGACCACAACCAGCACAGAGACCACUGCUACACCACGGGCAGCACUGGAGCUCUCAGGAUACUCGAAGAGAAGCCAGAACUGCCGGUGGAAGUCAUUGGUGGGGAGCAAUGUUUCAGGGUCUUUGAUGAAGCCUUCGUCCUCCCGGAAUUGGUCCAUGGCCUCGCUACCCAGCUCAUAGAAGGAGAUCUCAUCAGCAAAGACAUCGAUAGGGACAUUGGCUGGGCGCCGGAUUUUUCCACCAGAUUGGUAAUAAUAUAGGAUUCCAUCAAAACUGGGCCGGUUCCUGUCAAAGAAAUACUCAUUUCUCAUGGAGUCGAAGAACUGCAUCCUUUUCUCCCGGUCUCCCAGGAGGGUCUCUGGGAACUGAUUGAGGGUUCUGAGUUGGGUUUCAAAUCUCAGCCCAGCGAUGUUGAUGAUCACCCGCUGGUUCCCUUCAUUCAAGACCACUGACUCAGGCCCUGGGGGAUCCACAUAGUCUCCUGGGAGCUUAGAGAAGGUCGUCUCAUGGUUGGUGCUGUCACUGAUGAGGAUCCUCCAGUUGGAGAAGGGGCUGCUUCCAGACUGGCCUUUUGGGUUGGUUGGGUCAAAAUCUGUGGCAUAGUCUGGCUCUUCCUGGAUUUCAUCUGAGUUAUCAAAAUUGACCAGAGCAACCUCCAUUUCUUUCCAGCCACGCGCAUCCAUCGUAGGGGAGUCAGGGAAGCAGCAUGAAGACUCUCAGUCUUCCCCGCCUGCUGCAAGCUGUGGAGAGGAAGAAGGUCAUCAAACAGGAGCUGGGACACAGCUGGCUCUUGAUCAUUGAGGUAAGGUGUACCAAGGGAGUCAAAAAUGAUUUAUUUUUAGCUUGGGAAGGAAGCUUGUGGUUGUUUUGACAACAUUCAUCCAUUGAAAUCAAUUUGUAUCCCAAGUCUGCACACACUAGUAACUAGAAGAAAUUGCAAAGAAAGAGCUUGGCUGAGAGGGGAAAACUUUCUCCAGCCAAAGACCCUCUCCAUACAUGAUGGCAGAGAGAGGCCAUAAUGGGAGAGGAAGUAAACAUUUCUUAAUAAUAAAACGUAUAAUUUGGUAUUUGGAUGAAGUCCUCCAGUUUACCCAACACUUUUCCAUGCCCAGUCUCAUCUUUAACUCCCUUCUUUCUCUCACCUUUGACAUCAGUCCCGCGUGUAUCCUUUUGGUUAUAUCUUAAGAUGUAUCUAGAAUUCAGCCAUUUCUCAUCACCUACAGCAGCUGGUUGGGCAACCAACAGCAUCCUCUCCAGCAGUGACUAUCUGUGCCUUAUCCCCUCCUCUGUAAGUAACUUCCAGGGUUGUUCUGAGGGUACAUUAAAUGAGGUGGCUUAUGUAAAAUGCCUGGUGGAAAGAUCACUAAAGUAUAACUAUUGUUUUUGCCAACUUCUCCACAUAGCAGGACAUUUAGAAGCCAACAGCUAUUGGUAUUUUUUUUUGCCUUAGAUCCAAAAUGUUUAUGGGAAAUGAUUUCAUUUUUAAAAAUCAUUUUAGGCAGGUGGGAAGUAAGUAAGUAAUUGCAUGUGUGUGUGUGUGCACACGCAUGUGUUUGUGUGUUUGUUGGGGGUGGGGCUAAGGAGAGCAUGCCCAGUGGGCUUGGAUAUCCACACAGGUUAAGAGUCCUUCCUCAGGUCCACUCAAGCUUCGAUUUCAACUCAAUAACACUGCAGGCAGGCAGGCUGGGGGUGAGGGUGGGAGAGAGGUAAAGUCUGUAGUGGGCAUAGCCAUGACGUCAUUUCAUUUACAGAUGACAAGGACAUCCUGCAGUGUACAGUGUUGUAGUCUUUUCAAAGUGAUGCCACGUUUGCUUGUCUCGCUAAAUGACAAUGAUUGAAGUUGGAAAAUUUUAUUUCCAUUUUACAGAUGGGGAAGCUGAGUCACAGGGACCAAGUGAUACAGAGCCCUGAUCUGAACCUGCCUCCUGGCCCAGGGCCUUUCCUACUAGCCCAUGGGGCCCCUGCGUGGAAGCUGAGGCCUUGAGGGGAGCUGCAGGCUAGGGCCACAGGAGUGUGGGAGCUCGGAGCUCCUUCAGUUCCAUGCCCUCAUUUCUCAGUUCGGGUGCCAGGUGUGGGGUGAAGAGCUCAGGUUUGGGUGGCCAGGGCUGGCUGAGCACCUGCCCUCCCUCUUAGGAAUGUGUGGCCUUGCAAGCUGCCUAAUUUCACUGAACUGCAGCUUCCUUGGCUGUGGAAUGGGGGCGGAUGUAGCCACCAUGGAGCAUGUCAGGUGCCGGCCUGCCAUGUGAUGCUCAGUGAGCAGUAGGGUGGUUGGAAGGCAGGAUGGAGCAGUGGUUAAGAACUCUGAGAUGGGAACCAGUCUACGUGAGCUGGAAUCCUGGCUCUGCACAUGGGAAGCCCUGGAGAGAUGUUAGCUGUUCCUUCGCAGUGACCCAUAUGAUGGUGUAUGGGACUUGUCCUGGGCUACUCGGCUCCCGGGCAGACCUAGGGCCAGGACUCCGUCUCUCUGCCCACCUUGUGACUUCAGAGCAGCCCUUUGUCCUUUGGGGUCAUGGCCCUGGGGGAUGCUCCCUGCUCAUCUCCUUCUUGGUGUGAAUGCCAUCCCACUUUCUGCAGGCUGAAAGGCAGGGGUGCCAUCCA
ensembl:lncRNA